rnacentral:rRNA from 1 species
CCUACGGGGGGCUGCAGUCGAGGAUCUUCGGCAAUGGGGGCAACCCUGACCGAGCGACGCCGCGUGUGCGACGAAGGCCUUCGGGUUGUAAAGCACUGUCGAGGGGGAGAAAGGCCGAAAGGCGUGAUCUAUCCCUGGAGGAAGCUCGGGCUAAGUUCGUGCCAGCAGCCGCGGUAAGACGAACCGAGCGAACGUUGUUCGGAAUAACUGGGCUUAAAGGGCGCGUAGGCGGGCCGCCAAGUCCGAGGUGAAAUCCUCCGGCUCAACCGGAGAAC